AGGUCGGCACGGCGCGGGCUCCCGCUCGCCCCGUGCGGGGAGGGGCCGCGAGCCGCCCGCGCGGCGGCGUUCGCUCGCCUAACGGCCGUCCCAACGGCCGCGGCGCGGGGGGCAGGAGCGCGCUGCGAAACUUCUGGAAAAGAAAAGAACCAGUCAACAGACUUUUUAAAACUGAAGAUGGUUAUCAAAAAGAUGCAUCAACUUCACUCCUCAUAGCAGACUGCUAACCCUAGGAAUCUGAAGACAAUAUACGACCUUGCAUUAGCUGUGCAUCAUUUCAGCAUGGACACAAAGUUAUGGACUUGUUUUCUAAAACCAGAUGAAGUGGGAAGAGUAGAUGUGUCAAGACAACUAGUUAAUAUAAAUUACUAAGAAAUACCACACAAAAAAUGUCCUGUCCCCACCAGUUUAAAUUCACACCUGUUCCUACCUGAACAGGAGAGAGAAGAGAAAAUUCCUCUUUCACCAUCCAAAACUUAAUCUGCCUCCUGGGUACCAAACACCAAAUCCUCAGCUGGCAGAUGUCAGCAGACAGCACUGGAAUCAUACUGUUUCCUUGACGGAUCCAUUCUUCAACACCAGACUGCCAACUUCAGUGUCAAAAUGCCAAAUGACUUUCAGCACAAGUUCAGGGCAAACAAAGCAAUUGCCUAGGGACCUUGCACAAUGUUGUCAGCCUGACAGGGCUAAACUGAAUAGCAAAGCAAACCACCCAUGUAGAGGAAAGGCUUUGUUCCUACCUUCACUUUUUUGCUCCUGGGCUUAUUACCAGCUCUACCCUCUAGUACUGCUGCCCAAACCUACUGCUUUCCUAACACACAGGUUUUCCUCUGCAAUGCAGUUUGUAUUGACAUUGAGCCAUAUCAGCAGUACAUUGACUAUUUAAACUUGUGGGGAGGACAGUGUCAAAGUAAACCAAGUAACACAAAUAACAGUACCGGGUGGGCCUGGGGGGAGCAGUGAGCAAAGAGGAAGGAACCUAAGAGAGCUGCAUCAUGCAUUUCCUAUGCAGUUUAGGUGUAACGAACACAACAUAAACCCAGCUGGAAUGAAAAUGUGGGCACAAAUGUACUUUUGGCUGGUUAAGUUAAAGCUGUUAAUGAGAAAAAUUACAUAGACUUCUAAUUGGCAAGCAUGUUAAAAACACUGUGCCCCAUACAAAUGGAAAUUAGAUAGCAUUCUGAACAUGCUGUGUGACAUGAGUCCAACCGAACAGAACUCAGGGGGAGCUGAAAUUACCAGUGCAUUUUAACAAUCACUGCAAAUUAUCUGAAAUAGGUUCUUUAUACUUGCAUGUUUUUGUGAUUGUAAGCUGCAGUAGUUCAGGAAUUUUCCAGGGCUGGAUGCAAGUGCUGUGGCUCAGUGGAGGUCUGAGACUCUCCUUGGGAAGAGAAUGAAGAUCUCAUCUCUAGCCUCAGUGAGUCACCAUAGACUGGGUGCUGAAGCCACAACUCUGGAAAGAUAUGCGAACAUGCUUAAAACUGCAUGCUGAGAGUUUCUCCCACAGAAGUCAAGAGGCUUUUAUAGGAAUAUGUAAAUAUUUUCAGCAGACUAGCUGCAGAUGUGGACAAAGCGAGCUGUAGUCUAAGACAGUGUAAAUAGUCAUGGUCCUGUCAGAGCUGUGGAAAGGCAGGCUGGCUGCUGCUACUGCUGCUGCUAUCACCACCCAGAGAAGGAGCAGAAUGUCUGGAGUGGUGUCCACUGUUGGGGUUAGGAGGCCUCUCCUGGCAGUGCUGUCUCCAGCAACAUGCUACCCAUCCUUUCAGGGGUGCUAGAGGUGAAUGCUUCUGUUUUUCCACAUGGUUUCAAGUCCUUCUCCCUCCAAUUCCUUUCCCAAAGUAAUAGCAACCCAUCCUUAGUCCCUCAGUUUUGAGGCAGAAAAAUUCUGUUUGGCAUAUGUUGCUGAGAAGUAUUGAGCUAGCUCUGCUUUGCAGGACUAGGGUUUACAUAUAUAUUAGAAAUCCACCAGUUCAGUUAUUAAAUACACCUGUUUUGCUCCUAUGAACAAUUUAGCAUGAACACAGAUAAAAUUCUGUCUAAGCCAGAUAAUAAGCAAGCCUCUUUGGUGGGUUAUAUCAAAAAAAUCCCCCAAAACAAGAAACCCACAAAACUUCUUGAGAGAUUUGAGAUGGUGGAAGGUGACCCAAUCUGAGCCAAUAUAGGAACAGAAGUCAGGGGUGGAAGUCAAAUGUGUAUGAGCCAUUCAAUGUAUCAUAUAUAGAGAUUAUUAGAUAGUAUCACUACAUCAAUUUUUAUGCUUAUCCUUAAAUGCAUUUUUUUUUAAUUCUAGGAAUAACUUACUACCUUUUUUUUUUUCUAUCAAGAAAUACUACCUAAAGGUAUUACUCUUAACUAAUCUGUCACCCAGAACUUCUGUGUCAUACAGUGCUAUCCACAUUCUAUACAGUGAAAAUACCCCAAUUCCCCACCCCAAGUAGACAGAUCCGUAAAUUCUUUAAAAUCUUAUUUCACAUCAGCACAAAAUAUGGGCCUCACUAUGUUCUGGACUAUCAGACUUUGUGAAUGAGUCAUACAGAAUCCCCUCUUAGAAUUCCAGGACCUUCACUAAGUGUGCUUGAGGCAUGUCUCAACAGGCACUGAAACUCUUCACUUGUUUUGGUGGGUAUCUGCUCUGCUCCCCCAGCCCCACCUCUCCUUUGAGAGGAGAAUUAAACAGCCUACGCUGAUUAUCAUGUAAGUGAUUAUUGUUUCAAAGGAAGUUAAAUUAUGUAGUAGUAAAGAACUGGUUAGAUGGAAUCUACUACUGGUGUUUUGAAAACAUUGCUUUGGGAAGCAAGUUAUUAGAUAGUAAUUUGUCCAAGAUCUGGACUUAUUUCCUCAGUUUGACACAUAUGGGGGAGGAAAAAAAAAACCCAACAUCUGUAUUUAUAAGCAUCUCUUAAGUUUGUUGUCUGUUGGCUUCAAAUAUUUCUGGAUUCUGUUGUUUCAUUAAAGCAGUAGUUCACGGGUGCAUGCAGAAACAUCUGGGCAGUGCGGGGAGUAAAGAGUAGCCAGCAUAAAGAAAAAUCAUGCUGAGUACAGACAAGGCACUGAAUGACUUUGCUGCUUAUUUCUUGGGAUUUUUAUGGCUUGUGUUGGUGGGAUUUGCAGUCUAUAAAGCUUUAGCUCAAUACAGGUUCUCGUGUGGGAAUAUAUAUACAUUCACACAGUUGUAGAAAUUAUCAUAGGCACUGAAAACUAGCAACCUCUUUUUACAUUGCUAUUCUAUAAAAAGCAUAGGGAACGUCCAUCUUUUCCCUAAAGGAUCUUUUCCUUUUGCAAAAAGACAAAACCUGAUUAGAAUAUUACAUAAUCUUAAUACAUAUUUGGUAUCUUUUAUCAGACAAGACUAGCAACUCAGAACUCUGCUACUUCCUAAGAUGCUCAUGGUAACCAUGUGCUGAAAAACUUAAAAUUGCCAGUGUGAUUACCUUUGGAUGGGUCUUCCAGGACUGAUUCAUAGUGCUAGUUGAGAAGGAACACAUGGGGAGGGAAAGAAGGGUGAUUACCAACAGUACAAGGGGCACUGUCAGUGCCCUCCUUUGUGACACAAAGUCAAAGUUGCAGUCAUAAGUGGGGACAGCUUGGUGGAGGAAUGGGAACAGUAGCAAGCACCUGGUCUCUAAAUGAAGUUGGGAGUGUCAGAAAAAGAAAAUAAUCUUUGACUAGCUCCCCAAAACAAAGUGUCAGGAAGCAGCAAGAGCAGGGCUGCCCCAUGAGGGAGGAUGAGCUAGAAGCUGAAGAUGACCCCACCGACUCAGGUGCAGUCUCACAAUACCUGAAGAAGAGCAAAGCAGCACUGAUGACAGUAGCAAGGAUUCAUUGAUGGUCCAAGGUAAGGCAAGGUGAGGAAUCAGCUGCAGGGUCUAGUCAGGAACAGCAGGAGAUGGAGACAAGGCUACAACAUAAUCCUGAGGUCCAUCCAGAAAGCAGUCAGGCACAAAUGCACUUAUACCAUAAAUCAAAAGAGAAGCUGGUGCCCAAGCCUGAGCUUAAAUAGAGCUCCUAGCCUGGGGCAAAGGCUGUAUGUGUGUGCUGCCAGGUGAGGCUGGUCAAGGCAGUUAAGGCCCAUUAGUACCUUUAGGGUCUAGAGAAGACUAGAGGUUGGGGUGAGAAUUUUUCCACUUUUUCUCAGUUGUGUUAAAUGUCUUUCUCAUUGAUGAUAAGCGGUAUUAUGAAGCGUGCAUUUGUGGUCCAUCACAGCAACAACUGCUGUAACAGCAGCAGUCUUUCCAAAGAGAAUGGAGAGGUGACUGUAACACCUUUAAGUGCUAUAACAAUAAAAUAAUAAAUAAGGAAAAAAAGUAAAGUCAAUAGAUGUUAUAGGACGAGGGGCAGAGGAAGGAAUUAGGUUUAUAGAUGGUAUAAGAGAAAUGUGAAUUCCCAUGGCAAAAGGAUUGCAGAAGAAGCAUUAAGAAUGUGAAGAGAAAAGAAAGGUAGGGGAGUGUAGCAGGCAAAAGAGAUUGCAGCAUGUUGAAAGAAAAGGUGGAAGCAAAAAACAGAGGCAGUGACCUAUGUAAGAAACAAAGGGUGAAGGAAAAAGAGACUUUGCUGUUUUGGAGGACUGAAAGAAUUAAAAUGAAAGGGCAUUGCUGAGAAAUCUAGAGGAAAGUCAUAAGGAGGAAGCAGGACUAAGAUCAUCUUCUGAAUUGCAGCCCGCAGACUGCCCGGUGCACUGAAUGCCAAUUCAACAGAUCUGAUCCAAUAUGUGGAACAUUCAGGAUACCUAUAAUUAAUUUUGUAGCUUCCUCCCUGGAAAUGCAGUACACUUUCUAUACCACUGAAGACAGGCCUCACCAAUGGAAGUAGCUAUUAAUUUGGCAAGCAAUUAACUAAACUAUUGAGCCCAAGUGUCCCAUCAGUAACCAACUUGAAUGGAGAGACCAGUGAAUGUGCUGACAGACAGUGGAACAUUAAUGAGUAAAAUAGCGAUAAUCCUAUAGAUGUUAAAUAAGAAUGACAAAACAGCUAUGUUGGCUCUUGCCCACUCUGAGCUUGUGCAUCAGAGGUGUAGUCAGUCUCCGAAUGUUAUAUACCAAAGCAAAAGCAAAGAUAAAAGGGCUGAGCCUGUCCCUGAUAUGAUCUCUUAUCAUAAAAAAGAGAGGGCAUGUCAUGAACACCCCCUCUGAGUUUAAAUACACUUAGAAUUUCAGCAAGAACUGUUAUAUUUGGUUUGUAAAUAUAGUUUAGAGAACAAUCCCUAAUUUUUAAGUAUUCUCUGCAUCCUGUGAGGACUUCUGCCCACUUUUGCUAGCCAAUAUGGAGCACGCUGCAAGUAAAUUCCUCUAUUAAAUGUCAACAUCUCCAAUAAAUGCAUUAACAUCUUAUCCAAACAGAUUGUUCCAAGAGAUUUUUAAAUGGUUAGUACAUUUGGUAUGCAGCAAAGGUCCUUAGAGAUGUCUGUUCAUCUUGGUUUCCUGUUAAUUUGGCAAGGAUUGAAGCCCUAGACUUCGUCACAGGCCAAGACCAUGUCAAACUGGAUGAACUUCUGAUGAUCACUGACCACUGAGACUAAUAAUGUCUAAUUACAGCAAAUGUUUCUCCCACAUGGGCACUCCCAAUUCUUCACACAACAGACAUUGAGAAUGUUCUCAACUGUGUUUUUCCCUCCCUAUAAACUUAUGAAGUUCCCACCAAAAUGCAAAUUAAAACACUGCCUUCACAGCAUCAAGGACUCAUCCUCUCUGGUCCCAGCUUUAUUAACAGAAAGAUUAUUCCAAAAAAACCCCAAAGUAACUCACUGCAAGAUUUUUUAGCUCAGCUGUUGCUGGUUUUCUUUCUUUUGGGACUUUCUCCCAAAUAUUCAGACAGCUCACACCUCCCUCCAGCAGGCAGCAAGAGAUUCUGACAGAUUCCAAUGUCUGCUGUGAGUCUGGGGGCAGCAAGAGGUUUCUGCUAGCUUGUCACAGUCCAGUUUGAAGUUCAGCCAAAGAUUUUUGUAUUAUGAGGUUUUCACAGCCCCUUUCUGCGGAAUGCAGUGUACCCGAAACAUUUAAAUUAGUGCAAGGUAUUGCAGAGGUUGCAAUGCAAAAUUAGGCUAAAUAAAAUUGCAGAGGGAGCAUUUUUAAUAGAGAAAUAAAUGUCACAUUGGGGUUAUAGUCCUUCUAAGAGAGAGAGAAAGUUAGAAAUGGAACUCUGACUUCAAAGGUCUUUGGAAAUAGCAACUUAUUCCUUAGAGACAAGUGAAUACAGCAAAAAACCAGCUGGUAGGGAGGGGUGAUGCCAGAUGCUGCAGUUUCUGCUUUGGAAUAGGAGGGAGAGCAGUUGAAAUAAAGGAAAUGUGUUUCAAUAUAAUAGCCUGCUAGAGGAAUAAUGCUUCAGGUAGUAGAAACAUAAGAAGAAAAUAAUGUGGUGCCCCAGCAUCCUGGAAGCUUGAAGUCAAUGCAGAGCUCCAGUGUCUCACCAAAACAGAUAUUUUCUCUUACUGAGACUUUUACUACUGUUACCCAACUUCGUCACACAGGAGGAGCAUGGUUCUGGGAUCUCACAAAGAUAAAGUUACAGGCACACAACUAUUGCCCCAGAGAGUGACAGAGGAGAAAGGUUCAUGGUGCUGGUGACAGAGUUUCCAAGGAGGAUGCAGAGGGGGAAGAAGUAAGCUACUUUGAAGAUGCUGUACGUGAUGGUUUCAGUUUCAAGGUGGGACUGAUAUAAAUCUCACAGUGAGAAUGAAGGAUAACAGAGUUGCUGCAGGACUAGCAUCCAGCAACAAACCACCCCAUGAAGAUAGUUUUUUGCUUACACUUUAACUUAACAAUAUGCAGUUUUCAGUCCUAUUGAUGUCACCUCUGAAUUUACAUUACUAUGCAUCUAGCCUAUACAGUAUGUAUUACAGGAGAGGAAUAUAUAGUCAGAGAGUGCUUUUUCAUGAAACUGAACUAAGCAAGAUGUCUGUCUGGUAGCAGCCAGCUUCUUUACUAAUAGAAUACUCAAACCAUUACAUUUUCUUCAUUUUAGGACUGGCUCCAGAAAUCAGUCAACCUCUGCCUUAGAGAAGAGCUGGCAGUUAGACCAAUCUCAAUGCAUACAGAUCUCCUAGGCUGGACUGCACCUUUCCCAAAAGAGGGAAAACUGACCUUAAAAAACAGAACAACACACCCAGACCUCACUGGUUUUAAAAGAAGCUUGUCAAGAGCUAGAUACCUGAGAAAGAUGCUACCAUCCUCCAGGAAGAGAGAUAUCCAUCCAAGACACUGGAUGCUCCUUGUAAAAUUACUUUCUGAAAACCAAGAAACUCAGGAUCAGUGACUUCUCUGAGUACACGAACAUACAGUACAGUAUCAUGCACGCAUAUCAAGCCUGCAUUCUGAAAUGAAGAUAAUACUUGGAACACUAACAACAAGAUGCUUUUUUGUGUUUGAAAAUUUCAGGCUUUUAACAGAUCACUGCCCCAUCAGAAUCAGAAAUUCACAGCAAUGAAGUGUUGUGAACAAAGACACACUUUGCAAGUCUGGAGGGGAAUUCAGGAAAUGCAGCUUCAUAUGGUUAAAAAACUGUCACCUCUUUGCUCUGGUUAUGCGUGUCCCUAAAUUAGCCAUUAGAUAAUUCUACCACUUCACUGAACCUUUGCACAUUCUGCAUUGAAAGUAUUUAUUCUUCCUCAUCCAGGAAGAAAUGUUUUAGUGGUGUUUAUGGAAAUAAAAGAGAGAAUAAAGCUCACAUGCAAAUCUUGUUUUGUAUAUUUUCAUAUUUGACUAUAAAAGUGAUUUUCCUGAAGGCUUGGAGUCAGGGAUAUUUUAAAACUGCUGACGAGCAUCUUCCUACUGCUAUCUUAAUUAAAUACUAGUGAUUUACCCUGAUACAACUGACAGUUUGUUCCAUUACAAAAUACUUUCCUAGGAUGUGGAGGCAUAACAAGAGAGUGCAUCAUGAACUACAUCAACUAUUUCUAUAAAAUAGAAACAGUGAAGUUUACUUCCCCUUGUAAAGUGUUUUGAGAUCUACUGAUGAAAAGCGCAGUAGAGUCAGGUAAUUUUAUUAUUACUCUAAAAGAUAUUUUACAGUGUUUUCCUGUUGCUGCUGUCUGCACCGGCAGGUACUCCUCUCAACCAAUUAAAAUAC